UCAAAAUAAUUCCCAGCCCUGUCGCACCUCUCCUGUCCACUUCAUCCCCACCGUACCGCAUCUCCUCUUCUACCUCCCGUCCUUGGCUCCGACGGGGUUGGCCACCUUUGUCUCCGGUGCGGCCCUCGAAAGCACCUCCUUCCCUUACACUAGCUAUCUUGAUCUCCAGCGCGGUGUUGGCCGUAGAGGUGGGCCAUGCGCUGUCAAGCAAACCGAACAUAGCGAUUCAUGUGCCCUCGCAAGUGACCCCCGUCCACCAGCCCACACCAUCGAGGUCAUCGGCGCUCCACCUGACGUGUUGCCCCACGAUAACGAGAAAGGCCAAGAGCACACGCGUUGUCUGGUAGGUUGACCUCCGCACCGCAUGACAGAAGGACGUUGAGCUCAAGGAUGAUGCGGGCUGGUUGGAUGUGCUCCUCGCCUUGCUGCCCACGGUCCAAGGCGGCGCACCUAUUUCUGACCAGGAGCCGGCGGUGGACAAGCUCGCAUCCAUGUUGUGCUCUAGCUUCACGCUACUCUUCUCCACCUUUCAUGGUUCCACUAUUGGCAUCCGCUUCGCUUGGGCCCUUACUUCGCCUAGCUGCCACUACCUUCUACCAUGCCCGUUUACCCGACCACGUGAAACAUCUUCAUUAUGAACUGGAAGGUAUUCUUUGGACGUCAUGCUGCCAGGCUGUUCUCCUGACCGAAGUAUUUUCCAAGAAGAUAUAAGGAGGAACAUUCAACUGAACUGAAGUGAGGAGUCACAACUAAUAUCCUGGUUUCAGGUGACGACCCUUCAGCCAUCCACUCGAAUCAUUUUGUUUUUUUGUGUCUAUUAAACUCAAAUAAUAUUUUUAGAACAUAUCCUUUACUGGUUAUACCGUAUCAGAUAUAUGGAGAGAAAGUUCAUAUGCGCAUCAGCUAUUCAGAUUGUUUGCAACAUGACUUUGCCCGUCAUUUUAUUUGGUUGAGAUUACCAUGGGCACAUCUUGCUUUGUUCACUAAUACAAAUUUUUAUCUUUUGCGUGAUGGGGUACUAUCCUUAAAAUGUGUACUAGGGAUAUUUUCCUUUGGUUCGAAGGAAGCUCCAUUUUGUACAAAUUUUGGUUGUACCACACAAUUUACAUAUUGUGAGUAUUUUGUUAGGAACACCUUUGAAUUGAACAUUUAUGAUAUAUAGCUAAGUGUUUGUAACGAUA